rnacentral:rRNA from 1 species
GUCUUUUUGAGUAUAAUUUAAAGUCUCGCCUGCCCACUGAUUAAUUAAAUGGCCGCGGUAUUUUGACCGUGCAAAGGUAGCAUAAUCAUUAGUUUUUUAAUUGAAAGCUGGAAUGAAUGGUUGGAUAAGAAAAAAUCUGUCUCAAAUUUAAUUUUUUAAAAUUUUAUUUUUAAGUAAAAAAGCUUAAAUAAAUUUAAAAGACGAGAAGACCCUAUAGAGUUUUAUAUAAUUAAUAUUAAAAAUAUUAAAGAAUAAAAAAAUUUUUUUUAUUUAUUAUAUUUGAUUGGGGUGAUUGAAAAAUUUAAGAAACUUUUUUUUUAUUUAAACAUAAAUUUAUGAAUAAAUGAUCCAUAGAAAUGAUUAUAAGAUUAAAUUACCUUAGGGAUAACAGCGUAAUUUUUUCUUAGAGUUCUAAUCGAUGAAAGAGAUUGCGACCUCGAUGUUGGAUUAAAAUUAAUAUUUGGUGAAGAAGCUAAAUUAUUAGGUCUGUUCGACCUUUAAAAUUUUACA